rnacentral:lncRNA from 1 species
CUGGUAGUUGGCCAUACAUGGUCUUAACAUAAAGGUUCCUAAGUCACAAUUAUGUUGGCUUAAUUUGCAUAAUAAUGGAUUUUUUAUGGCAUAGUCUUUCUUCAAUUCUUUACAGCUUGAAAGAGAAAUUUACUGAUAAAAUACUCUGUUCCAUCCCCAGAUACUUGAGGUCAAAGAGUACGGUGUCUUGUGAUCCUCUUCUAUUCACUGAAUCAGGGUGUGUGAUAAGAACAACACUUCUUUUUUCUUAAAUGCUGUGAAGAAAAUUUUCUAGCCAAAGGAAGCAUGCUUGAAUACAGAUGUGCAGAAUUAUGGGAACUGCUGAGUCACAUCCUGAAACACUGGUUAAUUACUUAAGGAAAGGAUGGAAUCAGCCAUGGAAGCACAGGUGAAGAUGAUUCACCUGUGUGACCUCCUAGACCCCUCUUAAGGCCUGACUGCCUCCUAGAGAAGGUUCUCUUUCAGAAGAUCUUGUAUUUGAGAAGCCUCUCCAGCAAACUUAGAUCUUCAGAUACAGGUGAGCAUUCCUUCCCUGUUUGUUUCUUUUUCCAUUUUCACUACGAUAAUCUUUCCAGCUGUAACAUCAACUGUAACAGCUUACAAUUAUCCUAAUGGACUACAGCAUUCCACAAAAUCAUUAAGGUAAUCAUGCAUUCUGAUGACUGUGCCCCUUAUGCAAACAUAGCAAGAUAUACAGAUGAUUGUGAAUAAACUGGGAUAACCAGGAGACAGCUAGCUCUGAAUUUGUACCCUGGCCUCUGUAAAACAAGCUAUAUACAACAUCACAAUUAUAGCUGGAGCACAGGAGAUUAAAGGCACCUGAAGAUUAGCCCUUUUUGCCAGCAGCUUAUUUAGCAAUUACCCUCUCAUAUAAAACACUGACAAAUCCAGAGUAUGUUUUCUCAUACUCUUUGUUUAGGUGCAAAACUCAUCUUUGCUGUUGGUGGAUAUAUACGGCUUCAGGCUGGGUUCACACUUCAUGCUGUCUUAUGUGCAAGGGGCUCAGCUAGAGAAGUAGAAGGAAGAUACAAGAGGACAGAGAGAGAAGCAGAGACUUCAGACUGCAGGUUUGCAUAUCUAGUAUGUGAACGGUGUUUUGAAGCAAGCUCAUUCUGCUCUGUGCAUGUUAUGUUAACCAAAAGGCAGCACUUUUUAUUCAUUGAUGUCUGCAAAUCAGAAAAUUCACAAAGAGUACCCCAAAUCUUCUUAUGGUUGUUUAAUUACUCCAACACUCCUAUGGUUAUUUCACCAAGGCAAAGCAGCUAGUAAAUCCCCGAAGCAGAGAAGUUCAUAUGCAAACAAAAGGGUGACUACUGGGAUCAGCAGCCUCCAGGCAGCAUGGACAUAAGCUGCACCAUAAUUUGCUCCUCUGCCUGAAGCAGCCUUCCAGCAGUCUCUGCUCUCCCAUGCACAGCCCAUGCUGGGUCCAGU